UACGUAGGGACCAAGCGUUGUUCGGAUUUACUGGGCGUAAAGGGCGCGUAGGCGGCGCGGUAAGUCACUUGUGAAAUCUCUGAGCUUAACUCAGAACGGCCAAGUGAUACUGCAGUGCUAGAGUGCAGAAGGGGCAAUCGGAAUUCUUGGUGUAGCGGUGAAAUGCGUAGAUAUCAAGAGGAACACCUGAGGCGAAGGCGGGUUGCUAGGCUGACACUGACGCUGAUGCGCGAAAGCCAGGGGAGCAAACGGG
rnacentral:rRNA from 1 species